UCGGGAAUUUUGGGCAAUGGGCGAAAGCCUGACCCAGCAACGCCGCGUGAAGGAUGAAGUCUUUCGGGAUGUAAACUUCGUAAGAAUAGGAAGAAUAAAUGACGGUACUAUUUGUAAGGUCCGGCUAACUACGUGCCAGCAGCCGCGGUAAUACGUAGGGACCAAGCGUUGUUCGGAUUUACUGGGCGUAAAGGGCGCGUAGGCGGCGUAUCAAGUCACUUGUGAAAUCUCCGGGCUUAACUCGGAACGGUCAAGUGAUACUGAUGUGCUAGAGUGCAGAAGGGGCAACCGGAAUUCUUGGUGUAGCGGUGAAAUGCGUAGAUAUCAAGAGGAACACCGGAGGUGAAGACGGGUUGCUGGGCUGACACUGACGCUGAGGCGCGAAAGCUAGGGUAGCAAACGGG
rnacentral:rRNA from 1 species